CAAGAACGCUUGCCAUAAAAUGGACAACCUCUAAAGGCCCGGUAGUGGAGAAAGCAGCUGCUCUUUUUGUGCUGGGCUCUCUGACAUGAUUUGGGUCCAUGUGCAGCAACAGGAAGUUUAUAUCAUAGAUCUAAAGGUGGUCUCGAGUGAAUUGUUAUCAAGAGUUUAGUGAUAGUGAAAAUAACUAAGUCUGACCCAGCUAAUUUAAGAAGUGAUUUCUAGAUGAAAUAUUUGCUGGCCUAU
rnacentral:lncRNA from 1 species